rnacentral:rRNA from 1 species
GACGAACGCUGGCGGCGUGCUUAACACAUGCAAGUCGAACGGAAAGGCCCUGCUUUUGUGGGGUGCUCGAGUGGCGAACGGGUGAGUAACACGUGAGUAACCUGCCCUUGACUUUGGGAUAACUUCAGGAAACUGGGGCUAAUACCGGAUAGGAGCUCCUGCUGCAUGGUGGGGGUUGGAAAGUUUCGGCGGUUGGGGAUGGACUCGCGGCUUAUCAGCUUGUUGGUGGGGUAGUGGCUUACCAAGGCUUUGACGGGUAGCCGGCCUGAGAGGGUGACCGGCCACAUUGGGACUGAGAUACGGCCCAGACUCCUACGGGAGGCAGCAGUGGGGAAUAUUGCACAAUGGGCGGAAGCCUGAUGCAGCAACGCCGCGUGCGGGAUGACGGCCUUCGGGUUGUAAACCGCUUUCGCCUGUGACGAAGCGUGAGUGACGGUAAUGGGUAAAGAAGCACCGGCUAACUACGUGCCAGCAGCCGCGGUGAUACGUAGGGUGCGAGCGUUGUCCGGAUUUAUUGGGCGUAAAGGGCUCGUAGGUGGUUGAUCGCGUCGGAAGUGUAAUCUUGGGGCUUAACCCUGAGCGUGCUUUCGAUACGGGUUGACUUGAGGAAGGUAGGGGAGAAUGGAAUUCCUGGUGGAGCGGUGGAAUGCGCAGAUAUCAGGAGGAACACCAGUGGCGAAGGCGGUUCUCUGGGCCUUUCCUGACGCUGAGGAGCGAAAGCGUGGGGAGCGAACAGGCUUAGAUACCCUGGUAGUCCACGCUGUAAACGGUGGGUACUAGGUGUGGGGUCCAUUCCACGGGUUCCGUGCCGUAGCUAACGCUUUAAGUACCCCGCCUGGGGAGUACGGCCGCAAGGCUAAAACUCAAAGGAAUUGACGGGGCCCCGCACAAGCGGCGGAGCAUGCGGAUUAAUUCGAUGCAACGCGUAGAACCUUACCUGGGUUUGACAUGGAUCGGGAGUGCUCAGAGAUGGGUGUGCCUCUUUUGGGGUCGGUUCACAGGUGGUGCAUGGCUGUCGUCAGCUCGUGUCGUGAGAUGUUGGGUUAAGUCCCGCAACGAGCGCAACCCCUGUUCACUGUUGCCAGCACGUUAUGGUGGGGACUCAGUGGAGACCGCCGGGGUCAACUCGGAGGAAGGUGGGGAUGACGUCAAGCCAUCAUGCCCCUUAUGUCCAGGGCUUCACGCAUGCUACAAUGGCUGGUACAGAGAGUGGCGAGCCUGUGAGGGUGAGCGAAUCUCGGAAAGCCGGUCUCAGUUCGGAUUGGGGUCUGCAACUCGACCUCAUGAAGUCGGAGUCGCUAGUAAUCGCAGAUCAGCAACGCUGCGGUGAAUACGUUCCCGGGGCU